rnacentral:rRNA from 1 species
GACGAACGCUGGCGGCGUGCUUAACACAUGCAAGUCGAACGAAGUGGCGAACGGGUGAGUACUACGUGGGUAACCUGCCCUCCUUUUUGGGAUAAGCCUUGGAAACGGGGUCUAAUACCGACUAAAGGUGGGGGGGCUCGCGGCCUAUCAGCUGGUUGGUGGUGUGAUGGCCUACCAAGGCGGGGACGGGUAGCCGGCCUGAGAGGGUGACCGGCCACAGUGUGACGGGGAGACGGGCCAGACAGCUACGGGAGGCAGCAGUGGGGGAUAUUGCACAAGGGGCGAAUGGCUGAUGCAGGGAAGUCGGGUGGGGGAUGAAGGCUUUCGGGUUGUAAACCUCUGGCGCGAACGAACCGGUAGGUGUAGAAGAAGCGCCGGCUAACUACGUGCCAGCAGCCGCGGUAAUUC